rnacentral:rRNA from 1 species
UCGAUUGAGUUUGAUCAUGGCUCAGGACGAACGCUGGCGGCGUGCUUAACACAUGCAAGUCGAACGAAGUCCAACCAAUGGCAACAUUGGGGAAGGCUUAGUGGCGAACGGGUGAGUAACACGUGAGGAACCUGCCCCGAAGACCGGGAUAACUCUCCGAAAGGAGUGCUAAUACCGGAUGUCCCCACCGGAUCGCAUGGUCUGGUGAGGAAAUGGAUUCCGCUUCGGGAGGGCCUCGCGGCCUAUCAGCUUGUUGGCGGGGUAACGGCCCACCAAGGCGUCGACGGGUAGCUGGUCUGAGAGGACGAUCAGCCACACUGGGACUGAGACACGGCCCAGACUCCUACGGGAGGCAGCAGUGGGGAAUCUUGCGCAAUGGGCGAAAGCCUGACGCAGCAACGCCGCGUGGGGGAUGAAGGCUCUCGGGUUGUAAACCCCUUUCAGCAGGGACGAAACUGACGGUACCUGCAGAAGAAGCCCCGGCCAACUACGUGCCAGCAGCCGCGGUAACACGUAGGGGGCAAGCGUUGUCCGGAUUUAUUGGGCGUAAAGAGCUCGUAGGCGGUUCGAUAAGUCGGGUGUGAAACCUCCAGGCUCAACCUGGAGACGCCACCCGAUACUGUUGUGACUGGAGUCCGGUAGGGGAGCGUGGAAUUCCUGGUGUAGCGGUGAAAUGCGCAGAUAUCAGGAGGAACACCAGCGGCGAAGGCGGCGCUCUGGGCCGGUACUGACGCUGA